rnacentral:rRNA from 1 species
UACGUAGGGUCCGAGCGUUGUCCGGAUUUAUUGGGCGUAAAGAGCUCGUAGGCGGCUUGUCGCGUCGAAUGUGAAAACUCGGGGCUCAACCCCGCGCUUGCAUUCGAUACGGGCAGGCUCGAGUUCGGUAGGGGAGACUGGAAUUCCUGGUGUAGCGGUGAAAUGCGCAGAUAUCAGGAGGAACACCGGUGGCGAAGGCGGGUCUCUGGGCCGAUACUGACGCUGAGGAGCGAAAGCGUGGGGAGCGAACAGG